GAAACCUCAUCUUGCUCAAGCGCCAUCCGGGCGCCAGAGCGGUGUUUUUAACUAAACACAGGCACUUCGCCUGGAUGAGGAGAGAGG
ncrna:unclassified sequences RAGATH-10 RNA